rnacentral:rRNA from 1 species
CGGGGUGCCUUUGACAGAGGAUUCGUCCAAUGGAUGAGGUUACCUAGUGGCGGACGGGUGAGUAACGCGUGAGUAACCUGCCCUGGAGUGGGGAAUAACAGCUGGAAACAGCUGCUAAUACCGCAUAAUGCAGUUGGGUCGCAUGGCUCUGACUGCCAAAGAUUUAUCGCUCUGGGAUGGACUCGCGUCUGAUUAGCUAGUUGGUGGGGUAACGGCCCACCAAGGCGACGAUCAGUAGCCGGACUGAGAGGUUGGCCGGCCACAUUGGGACUGAGACACGGCCCAGACUCCUACGGGAGGCAGCAGUGGGGAAUAUUGGGCAAUGGGUGCAAGCCUGACCCAGCAACGCCGCGUGAAGGAAGAAGGCUUUCGGGUUGUAAACUUCUUUUGUCAGGGACGAAGCAAGUGACGGUACCUGACGAAUAAGCCACGGCUAACUACGUGCCAGCAGCCGCGGUAAUACGUAGGUGGCAAGCGUUAUCCGGAUUUACUGGGUGUAAAGGGCGUGUAGGCGGGGAAGCAAGUCAGAUGUGAAAACCACGGGCUCAACCUGUGGCCUGCAUUUGAAACUGUUUUUCUUGAGUGCUGGAGAGGCAAUCGGAAUUCCGUGUGUAGCGGUGAA